GGUCUCGUGGUGUAGUGGUUAACAUGCCUGCCUGUCACGCAGGAGAUCGCCGGUUCGCACCCGGUCGGGACCGCCA
rnacentral:tRNA from 1 species